rnacentral:lncRNA from 1 species
GCAUUUAAAUAUAAAGGAAUAAAGGGGACAAACUUAUCAACAUAUUCGGUUCAAAUUGAAAAAAUUAAUCGAAUCGAAUCGAUUUAAAAAUUUAGUUCGGUUUUUUAUAUAUUUCUAUUCGGUUCGAUUUUUAAUUUCAAAAAUUUUAGUUAUUUCGGUUCGGUUCGGUUUUAAUAAAAAAAAAUCAAAAAAACCAAACCGAACCGAUUAGUGAUAAUAAUAUAUUUUUCAAUAAUAUAAAGAAAUUAAAUCAUAUUAAAAUUAAAAUAUUUUAAUUAAAUUUUAAAAUAUUAAAAAUAAGGUGUAAAAAAUAAACAAAUUAUUAAAAAUCGAAAUCGAUCAAAUCGAACCGAAUCGAAUCGAAUCAGAUCGGUUCAGUUCGGUUUCUGACCAAAAUCGGUUCGGUUCGGUUUUCAUAAAUACUAAAAUUUCGAUUUUCGGUUUAUUCGGUUUGGUUCGGUUUUAAACCGAACCGACCGAAUGCUCACCCCUAUUCAACAUGGCCUGGAUUUAGGUUUUGAUAGCAUUUCAGGAUUCUGUACAAGUGAAAUUUCCCAAACUCUUCAGGAUAUUAACCUAGUGUACCCCUUGGUAUAUCAGCACGACACGAAUCAACUCUCUGCUGAUCUGAUUGCCUUCCGGUUCCCUCCUCAUUCAGAACAAUGUAAGAUAUUUGCGCAUCAAAACUAACUGAACCAUCAAUCAUGAUCCUAUCUUUAAUGAAUAUUUGAAUUAGAACAAAUUAUUCUUUAAUCAUAACCCCAAGCAGCGACAAUCGGCUCCAGAUGCUUACCAGAAGAAACAAUGAAUCGGUAAUUUCCCUUUGGCUCAAAGAUUGCUGCAGGCGAAUUGGUUUUCGAUUUGGAGCUUUGAAUAUUGCUAUUAUGGGGUUUGCAGAUCUUAGAUAUGAGUUUUGAAAUUAGCUUCUUGGAAUUAAGGCUUAAUUGAGUUAUUCUCAACCCCAACAGCUAUAAAGUUGUAGACAGACACUGCUUAUGUUUUUUAAAUGCUUGUUCCUCUAAUUUUUGUUUAUGAAAGUAUUAUUUUUGGGUAUUUAUUGAUUUCAUUUCUGGUAACCGUUGAAUUUCUUGCAUGUUGAUUUCUGCCCUCAAGUGUUGAAACACAGAGAACGCCGCAGUGAUUUGCUUGUUAAUCGGUAAUAGUUUCGAGAGGAAUGAGAGAGAGAAAGGGAGGG